GAUGAGCGCUAGCGAUAGGCUUAACACAUGCAAGUCGAGGGGCAGCAUGGUCUUAGCUUGCUAAGACUGAUGGCGACCGGCGCACGGGUGCGUAACGCGUAUGCAACUUGCCUCACAGAGGGGGAUAACCCGUCGAAAGACGGACUAAUACCGCGUACACUCCAUCUUGGGCAUCCAAGGUAGAGGAAAUGAAAUUCGCUGUGAGAUAGGCAUGCGUCCCAUUAGCUAGUUGGUGAGGUAACGGCUCACCAAGGCGACGAUGGGUAGGGGAACUGAGAGGUUGAACCCCCACACUGGUACUGAGACACGGACCAGACUCCUACGGGAGGCAGCAGUGAGGAAUAUUGGUCAAUGGGCGAGAGCCUGAACCAGCCAAGUCGCGUGAAGGAUGACUGUCUUAUGGAUUGUAAACUUCUUUUAUACGGGAAUAACAAGAGUCACGUGUGACUCCCUGCAUGUACCGUAUGAAUAAGCAUCGGCUAACUCCGUG
rnacentral:rRNA from 1 species